UCCCGCUUAGCUCAGUGGUAGAGCGCAUCACUAGUACCAGUACGUGUAUGUGCAAAUUAUGAUGAGGUCAGUCGUUCAAGUCGGCUAGUGGGAA